AUUGAACGCUGGCGGCAUGCCUUACACAUGCAAGCCGAACGGCAGCACGGGAGCAAUCCUGGUGGCGAGUGGCGAACGGGUGAGUAAAGUAUCGGAACGUGCCCAGUCGUGGGGGAUAACGUAGCGAAAGUUACGCUGAUACCGCAUACGAUCUAUGGAUGAAAGCGGGGGACCGCAAGACCCCGCGCGAUUGGAGCGGCCGAUAUCAGAUUAGGUAGUUGGUGGGGUAAAGGCGCACCAAGCCGACGAUCUGUAGCUGGUCUGAGAGGACGACCAGCCACACUGGGACUGAGACACGGCCCAGACUCCUACGGGAGGCAGCAGUGGGGAAUUUUGGACAAUGGGCGAAAGCCUGAUCCAGCCAUGCCGCGUGCAGGAUGAAGGCCUUCGGGUUGUAAACUGCUUUUGUACGGAACGAAAAGGUUUGGCCUAAUAAGCUGAGCUCAUGACGGUACCGUAAGAAUAAGCACCGGCUAACUACGUGCCAGCAGCCGCCGUAA
rnacentral:rRNA from 1 species